rnacentral:rRNA from 1 species
AUUGAACGCUGGCGGCAGGCCUAACACAUGCAAGUCGAGCGAGCGGCGGACGGGUGAGUAAUGUCUGGGAAACUGCCUGAUGGAGGGGGAUAACUACUGGAAACGGUAGCUAAUACCGCAUACCAUCAGAUGUGCCCAGAUGGGAUUAGCUGGUAGGUGGGGUAAUGGCUCACCUAGGCGACGAUCCCUAGCUGGUCUGAGAGGAUGACCAGCCAGACUGGAACUGAGCCACGGUCCAGACUCCUACGGGAGGCAGCAGGGGGAAAUAUUGCACAAUGGGCGCAAGCCUGAUACAGCCAUGCCGCGUGUGUGAAGAAGGCCUUCGGGUUGUAAAGCACUUUCAGCGAGGAGGCGUUACUCGCAGAAGAAGCACCGGCUAACUCCGUGCCAGCAGCCGCGGUAAUAC